rnacentral:rRNA from 1 species
AGGGCGUACGGUGGAUGCCUUGGCGUUAACAGGCGAUGAAGGACGUGGUCAGCUGCGAUAAGCCUCGGGGAGCCGCUAGCAGGCUUUGAUCCGGGGAUUUCCGAAUGGGGAAACCCGGCGGGAUUAAUCUCCCGUCAUCCGUUACUGAAUCCAUAGGUAGCGGAAGCUAACCCGGUGAACUGAAACAUCUAAGUAACCGGAGGAGAAGAAAUCAACCGAGAUUCCGCUAGUAGUGGCGAGCGAACGCGGAAUAGCCUAAACCGGAUGCAUGGCGACAUGCUCCGGGGUUGCGGGAUGCUGUCUGGGCCUAGCCCGGGAAGUUACAAAAGUGUUGUAUAGCAGAAGAGUCUGGAAAGGCUCACCGAAGAAGGUGAUAGUCCUGUAAGCGAAAUGCAACACACUUCCUGGACAGCACACCCAAGUACGACGGGACACGUGAAACCCUGUCGGAAUCCGGGGGGACCACCCUCCAAGGCUAAAUACUCGUUAACGACCGAUAGCGUACCAGUACCGUGAGGGAAAGGUGAAAAGCACCCCUGGCGGGGAGUGAAAUAGAACCUGAAACCGUAUGCCUACAAGCUGUGGGAGCACGAUGCAGGAGGGGCAACCUUCUUGCCGUGUGACCGCGUACCUUUUGCAUAAUGGGCCUAGGAGUUACUUUUAGUGGCAAGGUUAAGCCGUUAGGUGUAGCCGUAGCGAAAGCGAGUCGUCUGAAUAGGGCGCAUGAGUCGCUAUGAGUAGACCCGAAGCCGGGUGAGCUAGCCAUGACCAGGGUAAAGCUGGUGUAACAACCAGUGGAGGCCCGAACCGGUGUAGGUUGAACACUGCUCGGAUGAGUCGUGGCUAGGGGCGAAAGACCAAACAAACCCGGAAAUAGCUGGUUCUCUCCGAAAUGUAUUUAGGUACAGCCUCUCAUGAAUGCUCUCGGCUGUAGAGCACUGGAUGGACUAGGGGCCCUACCAGGUUACCAAACCCAACCAAACUCCGAAGACCGAGAUGUCUAUAUGAGGGAGUGAGUCUGCGGGUGAUAAGAUCCGUGGUCGAAAGGGGAACAACCCAGACCGCCGGCUAAGGUCCUCAAGUGUGUGCUAAGUGGGAAAGGUUGUGGGAAUGUCAAGACAACCAGGAGGUUGGCUUAGAGGCAGCCAUCCUUUAAAGAAAGCGUAACAGCUCACUGGUCGAAUGAUCCCGCGCCGAAAAUUCAACGGGGCUCAAGCACACCACCGAAGCCGCGGAAUGGCGAGCUCUUCGGAGUUUGCCAUUGGUAGGAGAGCGUUCUGCGUUAGGUUGAAGCCAGACGGGCAACGACUGGUGGACGAGGCAGAAGUGAGAAUCUAGGCACGAGUAACGAAAAAACGGGUGAAAAACCCGUUCGCCGUAAGCCCAAGGGUUCCUGAGCAAGGUUAAUCCGCUCAGGGUCAGUCGGCCCCUAAGGCGAGGCCGAAAGGCGUAGCCGAUGGGAAACAGGUCAACAUUCCUGUACCUGCACGAGACUGCUGAUGGGGUGACGCAGGAGGGUAGGUCAGCCACCUGAUGGAUGGUGGUUUAAGCAUGUAGACGGGAGGCUUAGGCAAAUCCGGGCCUCCAUUAACGUCAAGGUGCGAUGACGAGGACUAUGUCCGCAAAGUGAUUGAUCCCAUACUGCCGGGAAAAACCUCUAGGCUAUAGGUUCGAGCAGACCGUACCGUAAACGGACACACGUGGGCGAGUAGAGUAUACUAAGGCGCUUGAGAUAACAUUCGCUAAGGAACUCGGCACAUUAGCGCCGUAACUUUGGGAGAAGGCGCGCCCCGAUUAGGUGAAGCGGCUUGCCCGUGAAGCUGAAAGGGGUUGCAGUGAAAUGCCCCAAGCGACUGUUUACUAAAAACACAGGACUCUGCUAAGCCGUAAGGCGAUGUAUAGGGUCUGACGCCUGCCCGGUGCCGGAAGGUUAAGAGGAAGGGUUAGCGCUUCGGCGCGAAGCUCCGAAUUGAAGCCCCGGUAAACGGCGGCCGUAACUAUAACGGUCCUAAGGUAGCGAAAUUCCUUGUCGGGUAAGUUCCGACCUGCACGAAUGGCGUAACGACUUGGGGACUGUCUCAGCGAAUGACUCAGUGAAACUGUAGCAGCGGUGAAGAUGCCGCUUACCCGCGACUAGACGGAAAGACCCCGUGCACCUUUACUAUAACCUGGCAAUGACACAUGGGAUUUCAUGUGUAGGAUAGGUGGGAGACUUUGAAGCUUCAGCGCUAGUUGAGGUGGAGUCGUCCUUGAAAUACCACCCUUUAAUUGUCCGAAGUCUAAUCCCUUACUGGGAGACAUUGUGUGGUGGGUAGUUUGACUGGUGUCGUCUCCGCCAAAAAAGU